GACCCCAUUGCUACAACGGGUCACUAUUCGCGUCGGACCAGGGGAAGGAGGUGCAAAUCCUCCGCUGUCCCGCAGCCGUAACAGGAACUGUUUCCUGAAGCCGGAAUGCCUGCCCGAUGCAUGCUUUACCGA
rnacentral:ncRNA from 1 species